rnacentral:lncRNA from 9 species
CCUGAUGACUUGCAUUUUCUCCCAGACAGCUGCCAUUUUGGUCUUCCAGCCAUUCUCAAGACUAGAAGUGUACAGCUUUGCGCAAGGGCAACUUCUCUGCAUGGCAGAGGUGAGGGGAAAUGAAAAUGAUGCUGGGACUAAGUGUCGCCUCUCUGAGAAGUGUCGCAGUCGCAGUCAUGUGGCAUGUCUGUUACAUUUCCCAGAAUGGUUCCCAGCGCUGGAGCUAAUUCCUUUUCGGAGAACCUACAUUUCUCACCUGCUGAUUGCAAUUAGCCACUGCCAGCUGGGGCCUGGUAUGCAGCGGAAAAGCUAACAAGAAGUAGAGACCGCGCGGAACCCAGACAGGGCAGAGGAUGUGCAUAACAACAGAUGCUCACAAUGAUGGCAACUGCUGAAGUUGAUGGGUAAUGAUUUUGCGGCAUCGUCUCCACUGACUCGGGCCCUCCUCCACCCUGGCUGCUGCUGAAGACCCCAGGAAGCAUGGCCCUGACCUCUGUUUAGUCUCCAUUCAGGAGCAGCCGGCCACCAUGUUGUAAGGCAACCCUGUGCCUGAGGCCAGCCAGCAGCCCUAAGAGUGGGCUUAGGAGCAGAUCCUGCCCCCACCGAGCCUGGAAAUGGGACUGCAACCCCAGUGAUACCUGGACUGAAGCCUCGUGAGGGACACCGAGCCAGAGAACCCAGCUAAGCCGCGUCCAAAUUCCUGACCUUCAGAGAUGGGUUUGGGCCUGAGGUGUGUGAUGAUCCCAUCUGCGCUCUUGUAUCUCACGAGGCCGAUGAAGCCGCACCUUCAGGACUGCUCACUUGCGUGGACCUCUUUUUUGUACAUUUGCGAAAGUACAAGUGCGGCGUGUGCUUGGACAACCCUCGGGCCCUCUCUCGGUCCCUGAUGUCUGCCUGUCGCAAAAACGUGUGAUGGGAGACCAAAUGUCAAUAAAAUCUCCCUGCCCGCCUCAACCCGGUACAUAAUCAGCUCGAAGGUAAAUAAAUGCAAAGGAAUGCAAAGCCAGAGACGUUAGCGUACUCGCCAGAGCCACACCAGUAAUAAGAGGCAGAGCCAGAGUUGCAACCCAGUCAGCUGCGGCGUCUACCUCUCCCCAGCCUCCCAGCCUGGGAAAUUCAAGAAAUCGAAUGCAUCAUCUCUGAGGGGAAAAGGAGAUAAAGGUCCAGAACCCAUCCAAACGCUUCGUUUGGACCAGGUAAGUUUCAGAAUUGAGAGGUUUUCGGUAUUAGAAAGGUUAAGACCUGUAGAAAGCAUGUCUUAUGAAAUAUCUCCUGGCAGGUAAUCGGACACAUUAAUAUAAUAUUGCUGUGCUGAAAAUAUCGCACAAAGUGGGAUAAAUAACGACUCUCAAAAGCCUCCCAUCAGCUCAAACCAGGUGCUGCUGCCAAAUACAUUUGGGUGAAACUUAGACAAAACCUUUGGGUUUCUGUUGCAGAUAAGGGAUUGUGGCUCGGUAGUAAGGAGAAUUUCCAAAACUAGAGCCAGUGUGACAGGGGCGAGAAGGUGGAGGUUACUAAGCAUUUGCAAAAUAAUACAGCAGUGGGACCCUUCUGCCCAGCUCCUACCCAGGGCACAGUGACCAGCAGGGGGCCACCGGGGCCCCCCACUUCCUGAUAAAGUACCCAUGUCGCCUUAGAGCCCCUCUUGGUGUUACAAUCGAAACAUUAUGGGCAGUUGAAUUGUCCUGGGGAUCUUAUAAAAAUGCAGAUUCUGAUGCAGUGGGUCUGGGAUGGGGCCCGGUCAUCUGCAUUUGUAACACGGUUCGAUGCUGCUGGUCUGUGGAUGGCACUUUGAAUAGCGAUGCCGUAGAGUCGAUUCGAUCGAACCAAAGUGGAUCUCCAUAUACUUCCACCCAUCGGUCAUGACGGUCACAGGGAGUGUGUCCAGUUGCCCUCUAACUCAUCAGGUUGUGAUCAAGGGCCAGCAGGGAGAAAGUGACUGGGCAGGGUGGUGGGACUCAGAGGGGGAAAGACCAUCCUCCUUUGCGAGCAUGAAGACUUGAGUGAUGGAGCGAUCAGGACUGGAGAGCAAAUAAGAGCUUCCUGAGAGCAGAACAAAGGAGCAGAUACCCGCAUGUGACUGCUUAAUGUCCUCCUGUUGCUCUUGGACCCUAUGAUGGCCUGUGAAGAGCCCCAGGGCUGGCCUGGCAGAGGAAGAGAGCCACCCGAGCCAAGAUACCAGCUGGACGGACCCAUAAAUGAGCCCAGCUCAGACCCGAAGGAGCCACUGGCCAAGCCACAGACGAGUGAGCGAUCAUAAAUGGCCAUCCUUUAGAGCACUCAGUCUUGGGGUCGUUGGUUAAAAAACAACCACUCACCGAGACAGGUGCCACAAGCUCUUGAAUAGCAACGUUCUCACCAUCUUACCCCAGGGGGAUGGCACUGAAGAAGGAACCCAAAUUGAUGCAGAAAAUACCAGCCCCCCCAGCCCUGUGGUCCCUCCCCCUAAAUUUCCACCCUCAGCCUCCGAUUUUUCCCAUCUCUCAGCUACGUACAUACCUCCUCCAGGGACACAGAGGGAAGCCCUGGGGGACCUCUCCGUUCCUCGCCCUGUGGGCAGAGGGUAGGAAUAGCGAGCGGUCGCAAGGGACGGCCACACGCGCUGCGUGAGCUGGGAGAGGCGUGGGGGUGGAGGAAGACGCAGCCCUUGGGGCUAGUUGAUGCCUUUAAAACAUGCAGACGUACAGAGAGAACGAACGAGGCUUUUCUAUUAUAAAAUAUGUGCUUAGCAUAUUUAUGUAAUAGUUUCACCACGUGCAGUGAAUUGAGUUCCUGCAUUAGGGAAGGAGCUUUGCAUCGCUGCUUCGGACACACUUUGGCGGGUCCACAGCCUCUGUGCAGGUGGUCCGUAUGCACCAAAGAACCCCUGGUGGCUUGUGGGGGGCGGGGGGGUGGCCUGGCCACAGGCCGUGCCUGGUUUUUUAGCUUCACUUUGAGAAUCUCUCCUAGGUUGUCCCCCAUGAAAAACACACAUGAGGGUGUUUCGUGCAGGGAGCCCCCUUCAGGGCGCUGGUGGGGGUGGCGGCUGUUUGCUGGGAGCAGCCCCCAGAAAGAUGGGGUGCUGGAAACAUGGGAAGAUGGCCGCUGGGAUCCCGAGGGUCUGGCCUGGUGGGGCUUCAGGAUGGAGUAAGAUGCUACGAGAUGUGGGGUUCCGGUACCAUGUGGCCCAUCCCCCCUUUCUCCCCACAAAAGCCCCUUCCAUUUUCUUCUGACUCUUUUCUCCCCUUCUCUCCCUCCUUCUCUCUCAAUCUCUUUCCCCUUAACUUUUUCUAUCUUAAUUGGCCAUAACAUGGAAGUGAAAUUCUUUUUAUUAUCUACUAUAUUUAUUGAAUACAGUUUUAUGUUCCUCGCUCUUAAUUUUUAAAGUGGAUGAGCUGAACACUUUAUGGUUUUCUUUCAGAAAAUUUUAUAUCGCAGCGGUAGGCAUUAGGGCUGUUCACAAAUAGUCGGUUUGGGCUCAUGCCUGGGUGGGACACCCGCUCUUACUUGGGGGUUACCUCUCUGUGUGGGACUUCUUUGGCCCAGUUAAAUGUGAGCGCUCCCGGGGGAAGGGGGGGCGUGGAGCCUUGACAAUCAGCACCUUGCUCUCCUCCUGCUGCUGCGGUGAUGGGGUAGCUGAGGUGGGAGGUGAAAACUUUCUCAGCCUGGGGAUCUGAGUGACUGCGGGGGGCAUGGAACUUGAAUCAGGAGGAAGCUGUUUUAUAUUAAGCCACUGCAUGUGUUACCGCAGCCUCAUCUGACUUAUUCUGACUGAAGCAGUUAUUGUACCUCGCUUGACAGUCUUUUGUUUUAUUGCUUUUUAGGCCUGCACCUGUGGCACAUGGAGGUUCCCAGGCUAGGGGUCAAAUCGGAGCUGUUGCUGCCGGCCUACACCACAGCCACAGCAAUUCGAGAUCUGAGCCGCAUCUGCGACCCACACCACAGCUCACGGCAACGCCGGAUCCUUAACCCACUGAGCGAGGCCAGGGAUCGAACCCGCAUAUCCUCAUGGAUACCAGUCAGGUUUGUUACCGCUUAGCCGUGAUGGGAACUUCUGACAAUCUUCUCUAAUAAGAAAUCAUUUACGUGAUGCUAAAAUCAUUAUCUGUGUCAAUUUUUUUCACCUCUGCGGGGGCGGGGGGUCAGGAUUCCUUUGAGAAUCUGAUAAAAUGAUGAGCACCCUCCCCACUCCCACCCCCACCCCGGGGAAUGGACACGUGACAUUUUGCAUAUAGUCACAGGCACUGGUUCCCUCCAGAGUACAAAAGCCCUCUCCAGUCUGGGAAGCAGACGCUGGAUCCUCACUGCUCCUGCUGGGCAUGCGGGCUGGAGUGCCGGCAUCGAGCCUGCUUUCCUCCUGGUCCUCGCCUCUGCCUGCACAUCGCAGGCACAGCAUCCUGACGGUUCUAGCGGCGCCCUAAUGACAGAAGCUGCGCAUCAUUUCCAUUGCUGGAUCCGCGGCAAUCACUGCAAUGUAGAUCAUGAGGUUUCCAUGGAAGUUUCCUAGGGUUGGAAUGCACUUCUUCAGGGAUGUCCUUGGCAGCAGACAGGGCUUUGGACACUUCUGGGGCCACAUCUCAGACACCCCCCGCCCCCGGUCAAGGUAGAACUCAACAUAAAGACUGGCAGGGCGUGGAGGGGUUCGGCAGAAUGCAGUGGCAAAGCACUUGACCAUGACCCCGCAGGCUCGUCCUGGUGGGUUUCUCUGGGCCGAGAGCACUUCCUUGAUCUCUGCCACUCGCCCUACAUCUGGAAGAAUGCCUUUUUUCACUCCAACACACGUGACACCUUUUGGCCUUUCUGAAUGUCAGUUUCGUCAUUUGCACAGCUUCAAUCGCUGACUGAAAAAAAUUCACUUGCAAGCUGGUUGUUCAGAACUGGGAACGACGUCCCCCAUGAAAACAGCCUAUAAAAUUGUGGUCAUUCUCCUUAGACAAAUCCCCAAAGUCUACCAGAGGCAGCUGAGGACUACAAAUUUUGGAAGCCUAAAUGUAGGAGUCUGUGCAGUGUGACAGAAGAGAGGGAAUCUGCCUUCUUUUUUUUCCCCUUUUUUAGGGCCGCACCUGCGGCAUAUGGAAGAUCCCAGGCUGGGGAUCUAAUCAGAGCUACAGCUGCCGGCCUACACCACAGACAAGGUAACAUAGGAUCUGAGCCCCAUCUCUUGGCAAUGUGGGAUCCUUAACCCCCUGAGGGAGGCCAAGGAUCGAACCCACACCCUCACAGACACUAUGUCAGGGUCUUAAUCCACUGAGCCACAGCGGGAACUCUGGUAUCUGCCUUCUUAUCCAUUUUCAAUUUCUCAUCUCCCUCCCUUCAUCCAGAGCCUCGGUCCCUGUAAGCCUCUUCCCAUCCCCAAGGCACGCUAUUCCUAAAAUCACCCCUCUUUCUCCAAACUUUACUGUCUCAGCAUAGCUGAACCCAAAAAGGUAUUCAGAGGAAAGCCAUUUUCUUGGACUAAUUCUCACUAAAAUGUGAAGGGCUGGGAACUCCUUCAUCCUCUUGGAAGUGUUGCUGUUUUUAAGAAGAUAAAUCUCAGGGAGUUCCUGUUGUAGCUUGGUGGUUAAUGAAUCUGACUAGCAUCCAUGAGGACACAGGUUCGAUCCCUGGCCUUGCUCAGUGGGUCAAGGAUCUGGUGUUGCCGUGAGCUGUGGUGUAGGUCACAGACACGGCUCAGAUCUGGCGUGGCUGUGGCUCUGGCGUAGGCUGGUGGCUACAGCUCCAAUUCGACCCCUAGCCUGGGAACCUCCAUAUGCCAUGGGUGCGGCCCGAAAAAGACCAAAAAAAAAAAAAAAAAAAAAGACAAAUCUCAGAAAUCCAGUCGGAUGCCAGAUUGGUAGCCUGUGUUUCAAAGGAAAAGAAAAACUGUCAAGAGCAGUGAAGAAUCGUUUUUCUGGGAGUUCAUCUCCUGGGAUCAAAUCCGCAACACACAGCUCUUAAUUGUUAUAGCUUCUUUCCAUCUUUCCACCAGUCCGCACAAUCUCUAAAACAAAAGUAUUUUUCACAUUCACUCCUAAGGUCACCAUAUUGAGGUCUCGUGUGCCUGCGUGCGUGUGUUUGUGUGUGUGUGUGUGUGUGCGUGGCUGAGGGGGCAAGGCAGGAAAGGAAAAGCAGCAGCUAAUGGCAACUGUGGGUAAAUCCAGGGCCCGUUUAACCUGAGGAUAGCCUAGAAUAGGAGUGAUGAUGCCUUCUCCGUGCCAACUUCACCCAGAAUCUCCCAGAGCUAUAGCACCAGGAACUAUGUCUGGUCACUUGUGAUGGAGCACGAUAAUGUGAGAAAAAAGAAUGUAUACCUGUAUGUGUGACUGGGUCACCUUGCUGUGCAGUAGAAAAUUGACAGAACGCUAUAAACCAGCUAUAAUGGAAAAAAAUAAAAACCAUUAUUAAAAAAAAAAAAAAAAA